rnacentral:rRNA from 1 species
GUCGAGCGAACGGACGAGAAGCUUGCUUCUCUGAUGUUAGCGGCGGACGGGUGAGUAACACGUGGAUAACCUACCUAUAAGACUGGGAUAACUUCGGGAAACCGGAGCUAAUACCGGAUAAUAUUUUGAACCGCAUGGUUCAAAAGUGAAAGACGGUCUUGCUGUCACUUAUAGAUGGAUCCGCGCUGCAUUAGCUAGUUGGUAAGGUAACGGCUUACCAAGGCAACGAUGCAUAGCCGACCUGAGAGGGUGAUCGGCCACACUGGAACUGAGACACGGUCCAGACUCCUACGGGAGGCAGCAGUAGGGAAUCUUCCGCAAUGGGCGAAAGCCUGACGGAGCAACGCCGCGUGAGUGAUGAAGGUCUUCGGAUCGUAAAACUCUGUUAUUAGGGAAGAACAUAUGUGUAAGUAACUGUGCACAUC